rnacentral:rRNA from 1 species
AUGAACGCUAGCUACAGGCUUAACACAUGCAAGUCGAGGGGCAGCAUGGUCUUAGCUUGCUAAGGCCGAUGGCGACCGGCGCACGGGUGAGUAACACGUAUCCAACCUGCCGUCUACUCUUGGACAGCCUUCUGAAAGGAAGAUUAAUACAAGAUGGCAUCAUGAGUCCGCAUGUUCACAUGAUUAAAGGUAUUCCGGUAGACGAUGGGGAUGCGUUCCAUUAGAUAGUAGGCGGGGUAACGGCCCACCUAGUCUUCGAUGGAUAGGGGUUCUGAGAGGAAGGUCCCCCACAUUGGAACUGAGACACGGUCCAAACUCCUACGGGAGGCAGCAGUGAGGAAUAUUGGUCAAUGGGCGAGAGCCUGAACCAGCCAAGUAGCGUGAAGGAUGACUGCCCUAUGGGUUGUAAACUUCUUUUAUAAAGGAAUAAAGUCGGGUAUGGAUACCCGUUUGCAUGUACUUUAUGAAUAAGGAUCGGCUAACUCCGUGCCAGCAGCCGCGGUAAUACGGAGGAUCCGAGCGUUAUCCGGAUUUAUUGGGUUUAAAGGGAGCGUAGAUGGAUGUUUAAGUCAGUUGUGAAAGUUUGCGGCUCAACCGUAAAAUUGCAGUUGAUACUGGAUAUCUUGAGUGCAGUUGAGGCAGGCGGAAUUCGUGGUGUAGCGGUGAAAUGCUUAGAUAUCACGAAGAACUCCGAUUGCGAAGGCAGCCUGCUAAGCUGCAACUGACAUUGAGGCUCGAAAGUGUGGGUAUCAAACAGGAUUAGAUACCCUGGUAGUCCACACGGUAAACGAUGAAUACUCGCUGUUUGCGAUAUACAGCAAGCGGCCAAGCGAAAGCGUUAAGUAUUCCACCUGGGGAGUACGCCGGCAACGGAGAAACUCAAAGGAAUUGACGGGGGCCCGCACAAGCGGAGGAACAUGUGGUUUAAUUCGAUGAUACGCGAGGAACCUUACCCGGGCUUAAAUUGCAGAUGAAUUACGGUGAAAGCCGUAAGCCGCAAGGCAUCUGUGAAGGUGCUGCAUGGUUGUCGUCAGCUCGUGCCGUGAGGUGUCGGCUUAAGUGCCAUAACGAGCGCAACCCUUGUUGUCAGUUACUAACAGGUUCCGCUGAGGACUCUGACAAGACUGCCAUCGUAAGAUGUGAGGAAGGUGGGGAUGACGUCAAAUCAGCACGGCCCUUACGUCCGGGGCUACACACGUGUUACAAUGGGGGGUACAGAGGGCCGCUACCACGCGAGUGGAUGCCAAUCCCCAAAACCUCUCUCAGUUCGGACUGGAGUCUGCAACCCGACUCCACGAAGCUGGAUUCGCUAGUAAUCGCGCAUCAGCCACGGCGCGGUGAAUACGUUCCCGGGCCUUGUACACACCGCCCGUCAAGCCAUGGGAGCCGGGGGUACCUGAAGUGCGUAACCGCGAGGAGCGCCCUAGGGUAAAACUGGUGACUGGGGCU